rnacentral:lncRNA from 1 species
UCAAAAAAAAAAAGCAGAGCCAGGUUCACAGUCGGGCCAUGUGGGAGCAGAACGCUUGCAUUUAACCACGGCACUGUCUUGCCUCUCAAGGGAGAGAGAUGCACAAAGGAUGAAGGAAAAAGCCUGAGGAGGCUGGGAGUUGUGGUGCCAUGGGAGGUAAAGGUGCCAGGGAAAACUUCCUGAAGGGGGAGUUAACAAAAGAACUUUUAUUUAUUUUUUAUUUUUAUUCUUUCUGAGAUGGAGUCUCGCUCUGUUGCCCAGGCUGGAGUGCAGUGGCUUGAUCUCAGAUCACUGCAACCUCCUGCCUCCACCUCCUGAGUAGCUGGGAUUACAGGCACCUGCCACCACACCCAGCUAAUUUUUGUAUUUUUAGUGGAGAUGGGGUUUCGCCAUGUUGGCCUGGCUGGUCUCGAACUCCUGACCUCAGGUGAUCUGCCCACCUUGGCCUCCCAAAGUGUUGGGAUUAUAGGCGUGAGCCACCGCGCCCGGCCACAAAAGAACUUUUAAGAACAGGAUUGUCCAGUGUUCGUUGGAAGGUAUAUGAAUUGCAGCGCUUCUUAAAACCAUCCUUCUGACCUCCCUAAAUCUCCCUCUGCCUGCUUUGUACACAAAUACCUUCUGAGAUGGGUUUCUGGUGAAACAGAGGAAGGUGCUGGCUGAGUUCCACGUCUCAGUCAGAGCUGUGUCAAAAUGAAACAGCAGGCCUGGGUCAGCGGCCCAAGCCAGACACUAAACGAAUUUAGCAGAAGCUGCAGCUCUGAUGCAGAGGGGAGUAUGAAAAGGCAAGCCAUUCCAGAACUCUCCGAAAUAUUGGGGACAGUGUUACACUUCCAUAGGGUGUGAAAUAUGCAUUUGAACUGAUAUUUUUGAAAUAGUCAAGAGGAAGGGAGGCCCCAGCUGACAAAUGGAUUACACAAAGGUGGUAAACUGAUGCCCCAAACCCUGGGAACAUCAGCUACCUCUCUACGCCCCCAUGCCUCCCCUUGGGCUGGAGUUGGAGGAUGAAGACUCUGGGGUAUGUUUGGCAUGGGGUGGGCUGAUGAUAUAUGCAAGAAAAAGGCCAGAGAGCGGCUUGGAGUCCUUGGGUCUCAGUUUCUGGAGGCAAAAACCUUCUUUUUGGUACUGGGGCAUAAGGACAGUCAAAUGAACUUCUAAGGGGAGGGUCCUUGAUGCUGGCUCCCAGAUCCUGGGCUGACUUUGCUGCCAUUAAUGGAAGGGUCCCAGGGCUUGGCGUGGAGCUGACUCUGAAGGCAGGCCUCAAUUGGCUCCUGUCCUGGAUUCUAGCACAUGUGAUGCCAAAGACCCUUGUGUCAUUUAGGUCUGUCUUGUCAACACUCAUCCCAGUGUCUGGCACAGAUAGGAUCGUUGGAGUGGAGUGGAAUUGAGCU